rnacentral:lncRNA from 1 species
AAAAAUUUAGUUCAUAAGUCUGCAGCUUGGUCAUUUAGGCACGGUUCAGCUAAGCAGUUUCUCUGUUCAGUAUCAGGCUCUGGUGCCCUCAACUAAGCUUUCUCAUGCAUCUGUGGUCAGCUGGUAGGUUGUCUAGAGCUGGCAGGUUUUUGAUGGUCUCAAGUGGGCCAGUUAGAAUAAUGGGAGACCUCCAUAUGAUCCCUCUUUCUACACAAGUCAUGUUCACAU